rnacentral:rRNA from 1 species
UGGGGAAUCUUGCACAAUGGGCGAAAGCCUGAUGCAGCGACGCCGCGUGGGGGAUGAAGCAUCUCGGUGUGUAAACCCCUUUCGAUUCGGACGAAUGCCCGCAAGGGAGUGACGGUACGGAUAUAAGAAGCCCCGGCUAACUACGUGCCAGCAGCCGCGGUAAGACGUAGGGGGCCAGCGUUGUUCGGAAUUACUGGGUGUAAAGGGUUCGUAGGCGGUGCGGCAAGUUGGGAGUGAAAUCUCUGGGCUUAACCCAGAGGCUGCUUCCAAAACUGCUGUGCUCGAGUGUGGGAGAGGCGCGUGGAAUUGCAGGUGUAGCGGUGAAAUGCGUAGAUAUCUGCAGGAACACCCGUGGCGAAAGCGGCGCGCUGGACCACUACUGACGCUGAGGAACGAAGGCUAGGGGAGCAAACAGG